GGGUGGCUAUGAAGCAAGUGGCUGAUCAAGAUUAAAAGUAAUGUCUGCUGCCGUUGCUGCUGCUGCUGCUACUGCUGUUGAUCCAGGUGGAGUAUGAGUCCUCAAUAGAUCAACCAGCUGCCCCAUCAAAACUAAUAGUGAUGCAGUGAAAUCCUGGGAUACACCAGAACUGUCUCUCUACUCCAAGCUAUCAAUCCACUGGGGCAGACGACAAACCUCUGAUGACAAUCUACCAAGCUCAGUCUGAAUGCCCUCCAUAAUAAAG
rnacentral:lncRNA from 1 species